rnacentral:rRNA from 1 species
CCGGCGCACGGGUGAGUAACACGUAUCCAACCUGCCGUCUACUCUUGGCCAGCCUUCUGAAAGGAAGAUUAAUCCAGGAUGGGAUCAUGAGUUCACAUGUCCGCAUGAUUAAAGGUAUUUUCCGGUAGACGAUGGGGAUGCGUUCCAUUAGAUAGUAGGCGGGGUAACGGCCCACCUAGUCAACGAUGGAUAGGGGUUCUGAGAGGAAGGUCCCCCACAUUGGAACAGAGACACGGUCCAA